CUGCCAAACCCAAGUUUCUAUUAGCUCUGCUUACAAUCCCANNUUUCGCCCCGCGGCGCCGCG
rnacentral:rRNA from 1 species